rnacentral:misc_RNA from 1 species
AAGCAAGCAAAACAACAUAGAGGAUAUGCCUUCAUACAUGCAGACGAAUACCGAAAUCUCUAUAACUGAUAUAAACUAUCCUAACGAGGGAAAAUCUGAUGAGGUUGAAAUAAACGAUAAUACUGUGGAAAGUGGACAGUUGCUGAAAGAAGUGACACAAAGUCUUUUAGCAAAGCAAUUCGAUAAACAAUUUUGGACAAACUUG